AAUGAAAUCUUAUAUAAAGUAAUCUAAGCGCGGCCUCACCGAUUGUAACCCUAAAUCCUUCUUCCGGGUCUCAGCCACUUUUCUUGCUUUCAACUUUCACUUCUCUAUCCUAAUUUGCUUCAUCUUCUUCUCUUCGCCGUAUCCAAAUCCCUCCCACUGCUUGUUGUUCUUCACCGCCGUAAAUGAUGUCCGACGAGGAAAGAGAGGAGAAGGAGCUCGAUCUUACUUCUCCUGAAGUAGUCACCAAAUACAAGAGCGCCGCCGAGAUUGCCAACAAGGCAUUGCAGUUGGUGAUAUCGGAAUGCAAACCAAAGACGAAGAUUGUUGACAUUUGCGAGAAAGGGGAUUCCUUCAUUAGGGAACAAACCGGAAAUAUGUACAAGAAUGUUAAGAAGAAGAUUGAAAGAGGCGUUGCUUUUCCAACUUGCAUUUCUGUUAACAACACUAUAUGCCAUUUCUCUCCGCUUUCAAGUGACGAGACAGUGUUGGAAGAGGGCGAUAUGGUUAAGAUUGAUUUGGGUUGUCAUAUUGACGGGUUUAUUGCUGUAGUCGCUCAUACUCAUGUGCUGCAAGAAGGUCCGGUUACAGGAAGAGCUGCUGAUGUAAUUGCAGCUGCUAACACUGCAGCUGAAGUUGCCUUGAGGCUUGUGAGACCUGGAAAAAAGAACAAGGAUGUUACAGAAGCAAUUCAAAAGGUUGCUGCUUCCUAUGACUGCAAAAUUGUCGAAGGUGUUCUUAGCCAUCAGCUGAAGCAGUUUGUGAUUGAUGGGAACAAGGUUGUAUUGAGUGUUGCCAAUCCUGAGACAAGGGUUGAUGAGGCAGAAUUCGAGGAGAACGAGGUGUAUUCGAUAGAUAUAGUUACAAGCACUGGGGAAGGAAAGCCCAAGUUGUUGGAUGAGAAGCAGACUACUAUUUAUAAGAGAGCUGUGGACAGGAAUUAUCACUUAAAGAUGAAAGCCUCUAGAUUUAUUUUCAGUGAAAUAACUCAGAAGUUCCCUAUAAUGCCUUUCACAGCAAGAGCUUUGGAAGAGAAACGGGCUCGGCUUGGAUUGGUGGAAUGUGUUAACCAUGAUCUUUUGCAGCCAUAUCCUGUUCUUCAUGAGAAGCCUGGUGAUUUUGUUGCUCAUAUCAAAUUCACCGUUUUGUUGAUGCCUAAUGGAUCCGACCGAGUCACAUCUCAUCCUCUGCAAGAUCUGCAGCCUACAAAAACAAUAGACGAUCCUGAAAUCAAGGCAUGGUUAGCAUUGGGCAUUAAGACAAAGAAAAAGGGUGGUGGAAAGAAGAAGAAAGGUAAGAAAGGAGAUAAGACAGAGGACCCUGCGGAUGCUGAGCCCAUGGAUACCACGGCCAAUGGUGCGGCAUCCCAAGAACGAACAUCUACACAACCACAUCCUUGAAAAAAGGAAAAAAAAAAAAAGAAAUUAGUAAUUCCCCUCGCCUUUUUCCUUCAAAUUUGGGUCUGCCCCCACCGUUGAUCUCAUUUGUAUACGAUGAGCAGACUCCAUGGAUGCGUUGAUUGUCUCUCGAGAUGUGCAACUGAAUGAGCCUAAAUUUAUUUUCUUUACUAAUCUUUUCACUUC